UAUAUACUCCCUUCGUCUCAUAUUAAGUGACUCAAAUUUACUCAAAUAUGAAUGUAUCUAUACCUAAAAAUUGUCUGUAUACAUGUAAUAGAAAGUCACUUAAUAUGGGACGGAGGAAGUAUAUG
rfam:Brachypodium distachyon strain Bd21 chromosome 3, whole genome shotgun sequence.